GUUUGGUUAAACUACCGACUUCAGUGAUGCAGUAUUCAGAUUCCAUGCAUAGGAAUUGCAAACUAGCAAGUCCACUGUUUCAAUAUCUAUAUUUUUCUUUCUGGAAAGUAAGUUGGUGUUAAUUAUAGCCAUUUACCUACCACUGAACAAAACCCUAAUAGACAGUCUGGUUACACCAUAGAUUUUAAUUAGUAGUUAUGUGGUCAGAGCCUUGCACAAGAAUCGCAUGUAGGGGUGCCUGUAGUAGUGCAUGUUCGAUCUCUGGAGAUCUUGAAAGUAAAAUGGUGGUGACUCCAGUAGUUGCCACCAUAGUGGGUUAUUUUUGUAAAGAAAUAAGUUAUCCAACAAAUCUAUACCUUGGUUAAACCACUGAACUCAAUUGCUCACUUCAUUUCAUCACACCUGACCAUUGAAAAGCUGUGAAACAUCGCAAACACAAAAUGUAAUUCCUGGUUUAAGAAGACUAGAUUGAUAAAAAAGCACUCCAAUUAAUUAAACUAAAAGAAUUAAUCGAACUAAAAGCAAUAAAGGAAUUCGAAGACUCAAUAUUUCAGGAAGUUGAGUUAAGUUAUCAGCCUGUAUUACCCUGAUACCAUGAAGACAACAUUUGGUGCAUGGUUUUGUUUGUGUUUUGCUCAUGAACUAUUAAUCAGUUUGAGAAGAAUAUUUAUAUAUCAAACUAUGAAAGUGAAC